UACGUAGGUCCCGAGCGUUGUCCGGAUUUAUUGGGCGUAAAGCGAGCGCAGGUGGUUUAUUAAGUCUGGUGUAAAAGGCAGUGGCUCAACCAUUGUAUGCAUUGGAAACUGGUAGACUUGAGUGCAGGAGAGGUAAGCGGAAUUCCUAGUGUAGCGGUGAAAUGCGUAGAUAUUAGGAGGAACACCAGUGGCGAAGGCGGCUUACUGGACAGUAACUGACGUUGAGGCUCGAAAGCGUGGGGAGCAAACAGG
rnacentral:rRNA from 1 species